GAUGAACGCUAGCGGCAGGCUUAAUACAUGCAAGUCGAGGGGCAGCAUGUCCCGAGCAAUCGGGAUGAUGGCGACCGGCAAACGGGUGCGGAACACGUACAGAACCUUCCUUCGAGCGGGGAAUAGCCCAGAGAAAUUUGGAUUAAUACCCCAUAGCAUAACGGAGUGGCAUCACUUUGUUAUUAAAGAUUUAUCACUUGAAGAUGGCUGUGCGGCUGAUUAGGUAGUUGGCGGGGUAACGGCCCACCAAGCCUGCGAUCAGUAACUGGUGUGAGAGCACGACCAGUCACACGGGCAAUGAGACACGGGCCCGACUCCUACGGGAGGCAGCAGUAAGGAAUAUUGGUCAAUGGACGAAAGUCUGAACCAGCCAUGCCGCGUGGAGGAUGAAGGCCCUCUGGGUUGUAAACUUCUUUUAUAUGGGACAAAAAUGGGACUUUCUAGUUCAACUGACGGUACCAUGUGAAUAAGCACCGGCUAACUCCGUGCCAGCCGCCGCAGUAAUAC
rnacentral:rRNA from 1 species